AUGCGGGAGGAGAAGAAGGAGGGGUAGGAGGAGGGGAGGCCAUGAAUACAGAUGAGAAAAGCGGGGGAAGAAGAAAAAGAGAGUUUGUGCAGGCUGAAACCUGAACCUUGUUUAUCUUCGUUGAGCUUCGUCUUUGGCUUCAGUGAUUUCCUGGACGCUCAAGUUUACCUACAUUUUGUGGAUUACGUUCUGGAUUUUGUGUUUUGGAUUAAGCUGGCAGCUUCCUGGAAAUUCCUGACUCCUGAACCAAGGCAGAGGCGUACCCUGUCCACCCUCCAAUGCAAGUACCUGAACAUUCAACUCUCAUGAACUCACCAGUAUU